CCAACUGCAGAGGCUCGGGUCACUGUGGGAGAGCGGGUUCAAUCCCCUGCCCAGCACAGUGGGUUAAAGGAUCAGGUGUGCCUACAGCUGUGACGUAGGUCGCAUCUGUGGCCUGGUUUCGAUCCCUGGCCCAGGAACUUCCAUAUGCCACAGGUGCGACCAGAAAAUAAAAUUUAAAAAGAAGAACGAAGAAAAUGUCUUUCCUUGGGCUUGGACCCUGUGUUCCUGCACUUUGCACUGGGGUCCUUUGAGUUGGUCACCCUUUUGCUGAGAUCACCAAUGGCACCCAUCCCUGGAGCCAAAUGCAGUAGGCGUGUUCUGCUCUUAUUUGACGAAACUCUCCAGCAACAUUUAAUGUGGUUAAUGAGUCUUUCAUGACACUCUGUCUACUACCUUCCAAAACACCAUUUUCUCCUGGAAAUAAGCUUGCUUCUUUCCACGCUCUUGACUCUUUCAUUUCCUUUUCAGUUUUCUUUGAUGGUUCUUCCUCCUCUGCUUAAACUCUAAAUAUUGGAAUCACCUCUCAUGUACACAUUUUUUGUUAUGGACGGGAUCCCAACCACUCCCUCUUCUAUUCUAACACUGUGUUGGUUUAUGAGGCCAGCAUAUCGUAUUUUGCGAUUGCUGGUCUAACUGCUUACCUGACAUCACCAUUCAUAUAUGUCUCAAGAUAGUGCAAACCUAUGUCCAAAAUCGAAUCUUUAUCUCCCAUUCUAUGACAUGCAGAUGAAAUGAAGCUCAAUAUGUUGAUUGGUAUAGUCAACAGUGGUCAAAAGGGAUUCUCUUGAAUUUAAACAUGAAUGAAACCAGAAGUUCUAAUAUUUUCUUCCUGAUUCUCCAAGGCUCCUCUUGGUUACCCUCUAAAGUAUACACAACCCUUUGAAAACAAGCAUUUGCAUUUGCCACAAUCAUAGAUGAUUUCUUUUACUGGGCAAGUAGGAUUCUGAUUCUCUUAAAACAAGAAAGGCAACAGAAAUUUUAGGCUUCCAAGAGAUUCAGGUAAUAAAAGGGCUUUUCUACUCUCGUUUUAUGUUAUAGACAAUGCAAUAUUAAGUAACAUUUAGAUAGUCCAUAAACUAAUGCCUUCUCUCUGUUUAUGAGGCUUAGUUCGUUUUUUUAAUGAAGUUGUAGGAUGUCUGGAUUCCACUGGACCACUCCCACAUCACUGGUAAUGGAAAACAACAACAACGAAAGUUUUUACUUCAACCUGUGACUACAUCAAAGCAUUUGGGGGCCAAAAAAAUGGAUUCCAAUAAGGGAUACCUCUAACCAUUUCUUCCUGGGAAUGACAUCAGUGGGGGUAAUCCCUUUUUGCUCUUUAGUAGCAGAAUUAAAAUAAAACAGGAUAAUAUAAUUUUUGACAGAGAUUUACCGCAGGGACAUUGUGACAUAGCGAUUCAAGUUCUAGCAGUAUGUGUUAUAUCCUAUGGAAGAGACGCAAUUAUUUUAAAGGUAUUUAUUAAUUCCACACUUCCUUUUCCUCCAAAAGGAAAGGGAGGUUUAAUUGUAUGAGCACUGCUUAGCUUUGGGGUUAGAAAAGGGAAUUUAACCAGGAUCUUUUAGACUCUUGUUAGUCAAACUGUGAUGCAGGCACAGCAAUGUCAGCAUCACCUGGGAGCUUAGGAGAGACAUAUAUUCUCAGGCUCCAUCCCAGACCUACUGAGUCAGAAUCUACCUUUUUACCAAGAUGCCCAAACAAUUCACUUGCACACUAAAUUUUUGAUAACUGUGGUUCUAGAACUGUAAAUAUUUGGACUUCUUAACAUCUAGUUUUUGGUUGUUAUCAUUGAUUCAAUUCUGUUUAUAAUAAUCCCAGCUAUUCAGCUUUUUCUUAGUUAAUAAAAAUCGUAAGCUUAAAAAUAAUUUAUUGAACUCAGGAAUAAGAAAACAACUCAUUUAAAAUCAGGCAAAAUAUUCGUCUGUACAUUUUAUUGAAGAAAAUUCAUGAUGGUAAAUAAGCACAUGCAUACUGGUUCAACAUCAUUAGUCAUCAGGAAAAUGCAAAUUAAAACCACAAUGAGACACCACUACACACCUGUUAAAGUUGGUAUACUACUAACAAUAAUAAUAGUACUAAUUGACAUUACUAAGAGUUGCUAAGGUUGUAGACUAACUAGUACCUGCCAAUAGGAAUGCAAAAUGGUACGAUUGAUUUGGAAAACAGGCAGUUUCUUACAAAGUCAAAUAUAUGCACUCACCAUGUGAUUGAGCAAUUCUCCUCAAGGUAUUUACUCAGGGAAGUUUAAACUUAUAUUAUAUGAAGACAUGUAUGUAAAUGUUUAUAGCAGUUCCACUGGUAACCAACAAAACCUGGAAACAACCCAAAAGUCCUUUAAAUGAUGAAUGAAUGAACAAACACUGGUGUAUUCAUACAAUAGAAUGCUACUAGACCAUAAAAGACACAAAUGACCUGACAACAUGGAUACAUCUAAAAUACAUUAUACAGCAUGCAAGUGAAUGAAGCCGAAUUUCCACUUACAUGAGAUUGUGUAAAAGGUGAAACUAUAAGAAGAAAGGAUAAUAGUCACCAGGGCUGCAGGGCAGGUGGAUAUUUGAAUACAGAGGGAUGGCAGUUCUGUGCUGAUGGAGCUGUUUUGUAUCCUGUUUUGUAUCCUGUUGUGUAUCCAGACAUCCCAUCCUGUGGUGGUUACAGUACUCUAGACAUUUGUCAAAUCUCAAAAAACUAUACCUCAAAAAGUAUACUUCAGGUUGCCUCCAUGUUUUGGCGUUUGUAAAUAGUGCUGCAAUAAACAUUAAGGAGCAUGUAUCUUUUUUGCAUUAGCACUUUCUCCAGUUAGAUACCAGGAAUGGGAUUGCAGGAUAAAAUAGCAACAUAAAUGUCCAUCAACACAUAAGUGGAUAAAGAAGAAAUGGUAUAUACAUACAUGGAUGGACCUAUAGAUUAUCAUACGAAGUGAAGUAAACCAGACAGAAGAAGACAAGGAUCAUAUGAUGUCGCUUAUAUGUGGAAUCUAAAAGAAUGAUACAAAUGAACUUACAGUCAAAACAGAAAAAGGCCUGCAGACAUAGAAAACAAACUUAUGGUUACCAAAGGGGAAAGUGGGGGGAGAGAUAAAUUAGGUGCUUGGGACUAACAUAGACACUCUACUAUGUAUAAAACAGAUAACCAGCAAAGUCUCACCGGGAGCUAUACUCAGUAUUUCAUGAUAACCUAUAACAUAUAAGGGAAAAGAAUCUGAAAAAGAAUAUAUCUUCAUCUAUCUAUAUCUAUCUAUAUGUGUAUGUAUAUAUGACUAAUCACUUCGCUAUACUCCUGAAAUUAACGUAUAUGGUAAAUCGACUCUACUUCAAUAAUGAAAAAAGUAUACUUGAGAGUAUGUUUAUUAAAAACUAUACUUACAAAAGUCACGUGUUGUUUAUAAUGCAUACUCUUUACUUUUCAGCCAUGUCAAAGAGAUGCGGCUUAACCAAAGUUAUCUCACAAGCUAAACAUAUGGAAUGGUGUCACAUGAUGGGAUUGUGGCAGCAGAUUGGUGGCGCUUCAUCCCUCAGCACCCCCUCAAGCACUUGGUUGUGGAGGAGGGCAGACUGCUUCUUUUGUUUUCCCUUGAUCACCGCUCCUUCUCUGAGCUGUUUUCUCCUCUCCUGUAAAUAAGGCACAACCAGGAACACAUAAGAGAGAAAUGGGGGCAUGGUGAUUUGCAUACUCUAAUUAAACGGCUGUAUCAUGAGCUUUCUUUCUUAGGUUAUAUUGGGAUGAAAACAAAAGUGUGCCUCCAGUUCAGUUUGGAGUGUGAUCCCUAGGAACCGGAAUGAAUAAAAUAGGCCGGGAAGGCUUGCAUGCCUUACAUCCUUAAUGCAGCUGGUGUGCCGCGCUGCUCGAAGGCAGAGACUUGGCGUCAUGGUCCUUAGUGGACCGGCCUUUAUCUCAGCAUUAAGAUCCCUGAUGGCAAAUAACAGUGAUUGUGCCUCAUUGGAAAAUACUAUGGCUGCCAUUGUACUUCUUAAGAGAUUCCCCACCUCCUUCUCUUUCCCUGCAUUCAUUCCAACAUACUCUCUUGUAGAAUGUUCUCCACUCCUCUUCACUCAGAGGGAGGCAAAGAAUUGGUCUACUCUCCAAGGAAAACUUCAUAGUAUAGCCAGGGACUGUGCCUGGCCAGAGUCUGCUGUUGCUAAGAAAAUCAAUUCAAUAAAUUUAAUUCAUUAAAAAACGUCCAUGAUUCAAAACACUACUAAAGCAUCACAUUAUUAUUUACGUUGAAAAGUGGGACUGUAAACAGCCAAUGUUUAAUUUGAAGAAAUUAUUUGAGUUAUUGGACAUGAAUUCAAAUCACUUUUAUUAAAUAACUCCUUGUGCCCAU
rnacentral:lncRNA from 1 species